ACUCCCAACUCGAACGAGUCAUAACUCGAGAUGUUAACGUUAUCCUCAAACCCCCACAAAUCGCCGAUUCCAGACGAUCCAGAUGAGACUCGGACCAACUCAGUCACCUCAUCACUUUUAACCUCCUCACUCGAAACAGUAGUGGAAGGUGGCAGACCAAGCUCGUCAUCGGAUGCUUCUAGAAGGUAUCCAAGGUCCGGCUGGGCCUCGCCGGAAUCCGUCGACGUCAGAUCCACCACCUCAACCGGAGGCGAAGAAGUGGGUGUUAUCUCCACCUCGAAGCUCUUCAUUACCGAGUCAAGAUCGAGAACCGCCGCAUCGGGAUCGGAGUCGUCCAGAAAUCCAGACAACAAAUCAUCCUUCAACCUCUUCACCUCCGGCAACUCCAACUCCGGCUCGGCCGGGUCAUCCCUGACUCUCUUCUUGUUAUGGCUACUCAACUCUUCCAUUAGAAUAAAAUUAACAAUGAUAUUAAUAAAAAAGAACUAGGGUUAGGGCUUGCUUUGUUGCGAGAGAAAAGAGAAUAAAGAUUGUGCGGUUGUUCUGACGAGGAGUGGCAAGAGGGGAACACAAGUUUAUAUAAGGAGACCGAGGAGGCGAGAGAACGAGAGAGAGAGAAGUGUAUGCAAUGAUGUGACUCAAGGCGCGUGGGAUCAAACAAACACACAGGCCAUCACGGAGGACUUGCCAUUAUUUGUUGUUUCCAAAUAAAAGACUUUUUUUUUUAGAUUUGAUGUCGGGUUACCAUUUUUAUUGAAUUUAUAAAUUGGUGUUGAAAUCCGUUUUCAAGUCCGGUCGGUUGGGCCCCACUUGCCUAGUCAAUCACGGCCUUUGGUUUAAUAUCUUUGUUCAAAGAUUUGGCAAUUGUCGUUGGCUUGGCUCGGCUGGAUUUGAAUAGAAUUCGAAUCUUCGAGAGUUGGUUCGUACGUGUGUGUUCCGUGGGUAAAGUAGUCGACGACGGCGUGUGGUUUAGGCUUUUGAAAGUAUGAUAGAAAGCAUGUUUUAGUAGGCGUUUUUCAACUAUAAUUUUAUUCAUCCUCAUAAUUUUUAAAGCCAUUUCCAAAUUGUUCUUGCAGUAAACUAUUGAGAUUUAAUUUUUUUAAAAAAAACUAGUUUUUCCUCCCCAAAAAAGUAACAUUUAACAUUAUAAGAAAUAUCCGAUGAGGGGUGAGAGUACUCGCAUGGCCGAACGUUCAACCCCUAAAUUUUGGAAAUUUUUUAAUAGUGUGAAAAUUUUAAAAUAUUAAUUAAAAAAUAAAAGUUAAAAAAUAUUAAUAACCAACAAUUACUAAUCUUAAUUUUAAAAUAUAUUAAGUUUUACUAUGUUAUAAAUAUUAUAACUUACAGUUAUUUCAAAAAUCAUACAGGUUCUAUCACCUAUUAUAAUUUUUUACAUUAUUUUGAAGAAGUUGUAAGUUUCAGCAGCGGUCACUUAACAGCACCAAAUAUUUUAAUACACCUUCUACUCUACGGUCUUUAUUACCCAAAUUUUUUCUCUUACAUUAAAGAGCUACAAUCUCAAGUCUAUAAAACUCAAAAUUGGUGUCUUCAUCUUCUAUUUCUUUUUCUUUUUCUUUUUUUCAAGUUUAUUUCAUCUAACAUAACUAGUUAUAACUAAAUGAACCAUUCAACUUCCUUCUUAAGUUCUUCCGAUUCUCUCCUACAAGGGCUAACAAUCUAAAGUUUUCUUUCCUCACCAAGAUUCAAUUUUUGCUUUGCUCAUCUUUUUUUUAUUUUUUCAGUUAGUUUAUAUUAUUUGUACUUAUUUCCAUAAAUUCUUAUUAUUUAAUAAUGAAUCUUCCAUCAUGAACUUUAAAUUAAAUUUUUGAGAAAGGACGCCUACAGCCCAAGUUUCAAGAAACGGUCACAAAGACCUCUGAAUUUUCAAUAAGGGGCACCAAAAUCUACUUUUUAUUAUAAUACCCUUUGACUUUAUAAAUAAAAAAUUCACCCCAAAAUUUUAUAACAAAUAUAAAUGUAGCAUCAAAAUAAAGGUAAUAAUUUUAAUAUUUAAAAGAUAUUUUAAUAUUUUACCAUAUAUUAGACCUAUUUUAUUAUAUUAAAGUAAUUUUUAAUAAUAAAUAGAACAUAAUAUUAAAAUAAAUAAAUUCUUAAAAUUAUUUUCAAUAUUAUGUAAAAAAAGUUAAUAUAUUAAUAGGAAGAUAUUUUGUUAAUUGUAAAAUAUGUUUAGCCUGCUGUACGNNNNNNNNNNNNNNNNNNNNNNNNNNNNNNNNNNNNNNNNNNNNNNNNNNNNNNNNNNNNNNNNNNNNNNNNNNNNNNNNNNNNNNNNNNNNNNNNNNNNNNNNNNNNNNNNNNNNNNNNNNNNNNNNNNNNNNNNNNNNNNNNNNNNNNNNNNNNNNNNNNNNNNNNNNNNNNNNNNNNNNNNNNNNNNNNNNNNNNNNNNNNNNNNNNNNNNNNNNNNNNNNNNNNNNNNNNNNNNNNNNNNNNNNNNNNNNNNNNNNNNNNNNNNNNNNNNNNNNNNNNNNNNNNNNNNNNNNNNNNNNNNNNNNNNNNNUUAAAAUAAACAUAAUUGUUUAAAAAUUUAAUAUUAUUUUAUGUUAAAAUUAAUGUAAUAAUAUUAGUUUACUAGAUAAAUUAUAUUAUUUAUAUUAAAUUUGUAUUAAUUAAAAAAUUUUAAAGUCAAUUUUCUAAUUAUUAUAUUCAAAGGGUAUUAUGGUAAAAAAGAGGUCUCGGUGUGCUUUUUUUGAAAACUUAGAGAUUUUUGUGAUUAUUUCUCCAAAGUCUAGGAGUAUAAAUGUCCUUUUUUCCAAUAUUUUUAGGCAUAAUCUAUUAUGUGUUAAUUUAUAAAUUAUGUCUGUUACUUUAGUAUUAAGAUUUGUGCAUUAUUAAUUUAUUAAUUCUAUAUAUUAAUUUUCAGGCAUGAUUUUUUUUUAUUAUGAUUGCAUUAGAUGGUGUAAUAUAUCAUUUUUUGUAUUUUCAUUAUUAUAAUUUUUAAUAGAAUUUAUUUUAUUUUUAUAGUAAUUUUGUUAUAUACAUUUGGGCAACUUCCAAAUCAAAAUCUUGGAUUUGACUAUGGUAAUUUUCGUUGUCAAAGAAUUUUUUUCGAUAUUGCUUUAGACUUUAGAAGCGUUUAAACUUCUGAAAUGGUUAACUGCAAUUAUUUAUUUUAUUCAUUUUUAAUUAUGACAUUUAUAUUAUUUUAUUUUUUAAAAAAAUUAAAAUUAAUGUAAAAAAUAGUCACAUAAAAUUAAAAUACAUAAUUUUUAUUUAAAAUAAAAUGACGUUCAUAAAUUGAUGGCACAUACCCAUCAUAUUAAUGAUUGGAUGGAAAGUAAAAAAUCAUCUAUCAUUUGUGACAUAUAAUGGUUAUUAUAGCCAUAUUACUCGACACUUACAAUACAAAAUUUGUAUACAAACUCAGUAAGCUUACCAUUAUUGUUGAUAAUAUAUAUUUAGAAAAUAUUCGGAACUUUUUUACUUUGAGUUAAAACGUGAAAAACAAAAAUAUUAAAUUCUUAUUUUAGCGGUUGAUAACUUCAAAAGGAGGGGUGAGUGGAAGGAUACUUUGGUCAAGUUGACGGGGUGCCUUGUAGACUUUUAAAAUGAUUAGAUUAGGUUGGAAAUUAGAUUUUGAUUAAGCUUUAGAUUUGACGGGGUGGGGGAGGAGGACUUUUCUUAAUGAAAGUUGUAGGUAAUUGAUGGCGCAUUUUCUUGGAACCUCCAUUGGGUUACGAUGAUGAUGAUGUGCACUACAUGGAAUAAAAUAAUAUUGGUCGUGUCAAUAUGAACUAGAAUCAUGUUACACGUUAUUAGCUUUUCUUUCUUUCUUUUCUUUUCUUUUCUUUUUCCCAAAAAUUAUAUUAAAAUUAAAAAAAGAAAAAAAGCCCGAUUGCAGAAUUUCUAUGUAUAAAGUACAACUCGCCUUAUUAUGAAUGGAUUGCGUUCAACAGAAUCAACACAUCACCAUCCAAGAGUAGUUCCUUGGAAAAUAUAAAUGACAAUCAAACUUUGAAUACUUUAAAAUAUUCUUUUUAUGUUCUUAUUGUAUAGAUAAUUCUUUAUUAUUAUUUUUUUAAUUUCAUGAGAUAAUGGUGAAGAAUCAAGAAUAUGGCAAUAUGCUUGACAAAGCAAAAGACGGGGUGAGUAACGCCAUUCCCUUGUUCUAUGUCUCCCCCAUUCCUUUAAAAUAAAGUAAGGGGGAAAAAAAAUUGAUUGUCAAAAUGGGAUAGUAGCCAAAGCAACCUUUUUAUUGAAUUGUUCGAAUAAGACUUUCAAGUACUUAAACAAACUCCAUUAAUGUAACUUAAUUGGCCUGUAAGAAUCCCUUAACUUGUUUGAAUUAUUGAAAAAAAAAAACAUUUUAAAAAGCCCAGGUGCCAUGGCUACUUUCUUAUUGAAUUGUUCGGAAUAAAAAUUCAAAGCCAUGUUUGAUUAAAGUGUAAUCGUGGGUCCCCUUAUUAUUUAAUUAAGUUUUCAAUUUCGAAUCACUCAAAACACUUUUUCGUUACGUAAAAUGGAGCUCCCUCAAAAUUGUGUCUAAAAAUUAAAAGCUUUUGAUGUUAUUUCAUAACAUAUGGAUGGAUCGUCGCUGGUGACAUGAACGGUACGAGCACUACUAGCAUGUGACUGGUAAAGGGCAACAAGGUACGGCACGCACCAAAACCAUACAUUAAAAUAAAAACACAAGGAUGAUGGAUCCCCCCAUCCCACUUGCCAAUUGCCCUUCUCCACUGCAACCACCCAUUCAAUUGUUUGAUUGUGGCACUUGUGGCAUCGAGCCCCAUUUGCGCUUUUGAUAAAAAUAUCUAAUCAGCCAAAGUGGACGACAGCCGUAUCUUCAAAACCUCUCAUCGCCCAUCUUCCACAUCUUGGGUCCUCUUUCCCUCGGGUUUCCCAUCGAUACCCUCCACUUGGCCCCACCCUAUGCACCCACCAUUUCCUCCAUUUCCACACGAGCCGUCGACAAUCUCACACGAGCCAUCAUUCCCUGUGGGAUAUCUUUUAAUUAUUUGUGUGAUUUCUUUAUCUAAUUUUUUUUUUAAUAAAAAAAUUCUUUAAAAAAUUAUUUACAAUCCAUUGUUAUGGUGGAAGUGAUUAAUAUGGAGUUUUCAAGUAUCCAACUAAAAAUGCUAUCUUAUUUAAUAGAUUUUUUUUAUUAUUUUACUUAUAAAUUUAAAUAAUUCUCCUUCACUAAUCAAUAUAAAACAUAACUCAGCAUGUUAUUGUAACAAAAAUAAUUGUCAAAGUCUAGUUAAAAGUUUUGUUGUGCUGUACGAUUACAAUUUAUCUUAUGUAUCUAAGCCCAAAACGUAUCAAGUUCGUAUAUUUUAUUUCUUUUUUUCUUAAAAAUCAUGCAACAAAAUUUUUGAACUUUCUAGAAAAAUUUAGGUGAUUUCCUUUAAAUUUAACUGCUGUUUUUAAAUUUUUACAAAGUAGAUGUUCUUAAAAAAAAAUAGUCAAUUAGCAAAAUUAAUUAAUAUUUGAUUAAUUACAAGUGACCCUGUAAGAAUGAAUAUAAAGAAAUAGUUUCUUUUUUUUUAAAAAAAAAAAGAAUGAAUAUGAAUAAUCUCAAAUUUUUAAAUUUUUUUUAUGAUCUUCUAUUAUAGUGUAUACUAUAAUUGUAUGAAUUUAUAAUCUUUAAUAGGCCUUAUAUAACUUUAGAAUAUUAUAACAUAAUUCAGAGAAUAUAUAAAACCUCUUAUACUCGAUAAAUUUAUAUAUAUCUCGUUGGCAUGGGUAGAAUUAGUAUCACAUAUUUUUUUUUCUAGCAUACUAUGUUUAUAAUUUCUCAAUUAUAGUCCUGCUAUUGGCCUCAUCGAUUUCAGUGAUAUAAUAUUACAAUCUCCUUCAAUUUAUGUGUUUUGUUUUUCUUUUUUCAAAUUAAAAUCUUGAUAGCACCGGUGCUUGCCGAUGAGGCCAUAAAGGGCGUUAUAAAGAAAGCUGGCUUAUAUCAGCUUAAAAGAGCCAAACGCAGCCGAGCCGACUCAUUGGAUAACCAACGACUAAAAUAAAAAACUAAAAUAACCCUUAGCAAUUAAUUUACACAUUCAUGGGUCAUAUGAGUAUUAUAAUGUGUCAGGACCCGCCCCGUCCAAGUUAUCCAACGUUACCCAUCGUUGCCAAUUAAACGGUCUACAAAUUGGGCGCCGCGUCAGCUCUUAGCCGCUCCUCGAAAAUCAAACAUGUCAACUUGCCCUUCUUUGAACGUCUCCACGUGGCUUGGCGCCUUUGUAUUUCAAUCAAUUAUGUCGUGCCGAUUUUGGGUAUUUACUGAUUUCCCUUUCCCCAGUUUGGUAUUGGUAUCUAGAAAGACUGAUACGUUUUCCAAAGUGGGCCCACGUGUUUAAGUGCCCAUGUUAAAAGCAAUCACAUGAUACAGCUGAUUGUUUGGUGUGUGUCAUCACAUCCGUGUCGCUCUUCCUUUUUUACUUUUCACGAGGUCUCUGCUGCACUGCUGAUCAUACUGUUAGGAAAAUAAUCACAUGUGUCUCACCCUCACCGUACCUAACGUUAAUAAUGAAGUGAUAUCAAAUUAUGAAUAUCCGACGGAUGAACAAAGAUAUCCUGAUCUGAGCAUGGAGUGUGUGGUUGGUAACAUGUUGAACUUCUUUGGUGUUGCGGAUCCGUGAAUCGGACGCACUUCGGUAAGACGCCUGAGUCCGAAUCACGAGGAGAACGAUUAAGAGAGAUGACAAAUUGGACGGUGGAAACGGGAGGGGUAACUUGGGGACCGAUUCAACGGUGGAGAUUUAUCCAAUAACAUCAUCAGUAUUAUGGGGACCACAACUUUUGCCCAAGUCAAGAAGCACGCUAUGACGUUAUUCACUCAAUUGCGGAAUUCGUCAGUCAUUUCUGUUUUUAUCUCAAUUAUUAAUUAAUUGUUUUAAAAAAUCCUAAUUUAUUUGUCACCCUUUUUUUUAACAACAUUUUAUGUGUUUUUUAAUCGUAAUCUCGGAUGACGGAGAGCGCGGCAGCGGUUGACCCGCCACGACUCCUGUAGAAGGGAACAAAAAACUUUGCAUGAAAUUGAAGUUAGAUAAUUAUAUUUUUUUAAAUUAUAACACUAAUAUAUUAAGUACUUAAUAUAAUUUAAAAGUUUAAAUUUAUUAUUUUAAAUUAAUUUUAUUAAAAUUAUUAUUUAAAAAAUUAUAUUCACUGUAUAUUGUUAAUUUUUUUUUAUAAUAAUGAUAGCUUUUAAAUUACACCUCUUCAUUAUUACAAUUUUUUUCUACAACAAUAAUAAUUGUAAAAAUUACAAUACGUUUAUAUUAAAUAGAGCCGUAAAAUGUUCGAUUAUGCGACAAAAUAACGGAUUCUUUAAGAGAAUUUAUCAUAUAUAUAUAUAUUAAUGCUAAAUUUAAUUAAUUUUACCACAUAUCUUAUGAAUUAUCUCAUCAUCUCAAGAAAUGGUGGGUAGCCCCGCGCACAAAUCCUUCUCUCGAAGCGGAGUCGCAGACAAUAGGAAAAGGGAGAACCGGCAAUGCGGAUGAAGGAGAAUCUAUCCACAAGUAGACAAAAAGAUCAGGCUGAUGUGUCGACACUUCAUGUGAUAUGCGACAUCGUUUUUCUCUUUAUUUACCUGAAAAGAAGUGAUUCUUGUUAGCAGCUGUAAGCCUGUAACGCCGUAAACCUUUUACAUCAGGCAUUCCACUUGCUAAAAAAUGACAAAGACAACAUUUAAGUGCGGCAUUUUAUUGGAUGUACCGAAAGUUUGGCGUGACAAAAAUCAAAAUUCAAUCAAAAAAGAUCAACAGCCAGCUAUUAAAUGUCGUAGCAGAAAGUCAGAACUAGAGAGCCUUGAAAAGAAUGUAGCAGCCGGGUUGCUAGACCUUUGCCUAGAGUCUAGAGUAUGAUAUAUUCAAUGCCUCCUUCUACAAAAGUUAAUCAACAAGGCCUUGUUUGUGUUUCAAUCUUUUGGACUUUCCCCAAGUGUUUAGUUAAAAGUAGUAACAUAGUAAAUUUACUCACGUUUAUAUUGUUGGACAAUUAUAAUUUUGAUUCCACAGUAGUUGUGACGAAAAAAACAAAUCACGCCACAACAAUUUCAAAGCACUCAAAAACUUCAUGUUAUAUGCUUUCGUAAUAAAGCUCAUCCGCUAGCAUAUAUGUAAAAUUUAAGUGUUUCGUAAAUACUAAUUUUAUAUUUAUAUGAUAAAAAAAUAUAUUACACCUUCAUUAAUUUUGUCAAGGUUUUUUUAUUACAUACUAUUAAUUUUUAUUUUAUAGUAUAAUUUUUUUUUCACAACAGUUGUAAUUUAAAAGUUACAACACCUCAAUACUAGAUAAAGCCUUUAGAAAAUAAAUAAAUAAAAUUUUGACAUUUAAAAAAUCAUAUUGAAGGUGGCAUAAGCUAUUUUAAGCAAUCAAAUAUCCUCCAUCCACUCGUUAAUUUAGUUAUAAAUACCUUUUGAUCUUAUUAUUCACGAAGUUAAGGAUUCGAAUAUUUUCAUGUGUUGUAGAGUAGACUAUUUCACUCUUUCUAGUAUGUUUUUAAAAUCUUCCUUCUAAAAAUUGCUAAUUUCAAUAAUGAGUCAUCAAGACAAGUGGUUAUGGACUUUUAAUCCAUCUGAAAUUAGUAUUAUAAUAUUAAAAUUUGAGUUGGAUUAAAUCCAAAUUUAAUAGGUCGAGAUAGAUCAUAAACCAUUUCUAAUGCGUUCGAAAAUAGUACAAGAACUAAUUACAUCCAAGUGGGCGUAUAUCUUUCGGCUGCACCGAACUUCAUCUGGACGCAUUCAAAGUAUAAGAUGAUAAACUAAUAAUCAAUCUGAAAGUGAUCCAAUAUCCACCACCUGUAUUGUGUCAUUCACAAAAUUGUCAAAUGUCGGAUAACUUCAUAAAAAUGGUGAUUUAAAUUUGCUAGCCCAACGAUAAUACCCAAAAAAAAAAAAUAUUGUAAUUUGAAUACUUUAUCUUGAAAUGUUAUUUUCUUCAAAUUUGUUAAAAUUUUCCAAAUGGUUUUUUUUUUUUUUUUUUUUUUUUGUUGUGGUGGUUUUUCACUGGUGAGAAUGACACAUAAGGUUGAAAUUGUCGUCGUGGGUUUCUCACAAACUCCACUAUAUACAGUUGGCGGACGAUGAAGUCUUAUCAACUAUAUAUUUUAUUGACAUAAAUCUGGCUAACACGAUUUGAAAUUAGUAUAGGGGCAUCAAAUCAUUCUAAAAAGAGAGAAGAUGUGUAUAUAAAAAUGUGACAACUUUUAAUUUCUAGACUUGAGGAGUGGGCACAUCGGUCCAUUAUUGGUGGCUAACUUUACUUCGUUAACACGUUGAACACACAAUAAAAGAGGCAAGAGGCAAUGGGUAAGUCCACGUCAGGAAACUUGAAACUAAAUUUGCUUUCAAAUUUUCCAAUUCCUUGUUUUAGGGAGACAAUGUUUUUUGGGUUGUCCUCACUUGCAUUAGAAAUUAUUCUCCACACGAUGAUGACUCAUUGACGUUGAAGUUCCCUACAAAUGUGAUUCCCAAACGGCUAGUCUAGUCCAAACCAAACCCAAUGGUCCAAUCUAGCUUUUUUAUUUAAUUUCUAUGCCUAUUUCCUUGGCUUUGAAGAAAACAGAAAACGGCAAUCACAUCUGGUUUUGGCCCAAGAUAGGGUUUGAGUGGUGGACCAUGACCGGCUGCCUGCCCCAUUUUGUUUCACUGAAUUUUCCAUCUAGAAAUUUCACUGAAAGCAAUUCCUAACCUGUCGGUUCUACUCUAAGGCAACCUCCAUUCAUCUUAAUUUAAUGACUAAUUUUAAGACUACUGCGGUCCCGUUUAUUAUCGAAAUUGAGCAAUUACAACUCGAAAGUUACGAUGUUAAAGUAUUUAAUAAAUAUUAAUUAUUUGUUAUUUAAAAAUUAGGUUAAUUGAUCCACCACUUGUAAAACAAAGAUCUAUAAUAUAUUUUUUAUUUUUAUUAAUGUUAUUAUUUAAAAGUCAUAUUUACUGCACACUAUUAAUUUUUAUUUAAUAGUUACAUUUUUUUUAUUUCAACCUAAAAGCUAUAACAUCUUAAUACUAAACAUGACGUAAAUGCUUGUUUGGGAUUACUUUUGAGUAUACUCAAAAGUAAUUUUGAAUAGUUAAAAGUUAGUUUUAAUGUUUAGUAAAUUUUUUUAAAAAAAAAUCACCUCAUUUUACAAGAGAUUUUGAAAAGCUAUUCAAGAGUAGUUUUUCAAAAUUUAAUUUUGAGAAACAGUUUUAUAAUUAAUACAAUUCCAUAUGCAUAUAAUCAUAUAUAUUAUAAAGUUUUAAAAUCAUUCUUAUCCAAUUAAGAAACAAAAUUAUUAAAGUUUAGAGAGAUUAUUAUUAUUACCAAUUAUAUUGAGAUAGCAAAAUAAAAAAUAUAAUUAAUAAAAUAAAAAAAGUAAUUUUAGUUAUCAAUUAUUAAUACACACUAUAAAAAAAUAUUAUAUAUAUAUAUAUAUGUUUAUAAAUGUGUGAAUAAAUUCGACCAAAUACAUACGAGAGCUUUUAAAACUAAUAGCAAAUUUAAAAAUAAAUUUUACCAAACACUUAAGUGAUUCUCUCCAUAACUAAUUAUUUAUACAACACAACUAAUUUUAAUUAUUUUAAAAAUUACAACAAUACUUAAACUGACGCAAAGCAAAUUAUUUAAAAUUCAAAUACUUUUCUAGCCCCACCAUAUUUUUAACGUGUUAAUUGGUUCCCAUAUAGGUCAAACCUUUCGUCCAUUUAAAAAAAAAAACAUAUAGUGGUAAUCCUUUAAUUGCAUAAAAAAUAAUACAAAAGUUUACUUGAAAUUAUGGAUCUAAUUAUGGCUCCGUUAUCUCAAAAUCAUUAAAUGGUUCAAAAGUCAAUUAAAAUUUAACAAAAUCUAAUUAUCUAAAGAUAUCUAGAUUGUGAAAUAUAGUACCUCGAAGAUAUCAUAGUAUGGUCCGAUAUUGUACCUAUGUGAAAAAUAUCAACAUUUACUUUCAUAUUUUAAUUUCCAAUUCAACUCUCUAGAAAACAUGGUUGAGACUUGAAAACUAUAUUAUUUUUAUAUUUUUUUUGGAACACCAUCUGAGAAGGUUGGAUGUGAAUUCAAUCUCUUGACCUUUUAAUGAGUUUGGUUUGGAUGAGGGUUGCAACUACUACAAAUAGGCCCUCAAAAUUGAAAUGAUGAAUUCCAUCUUCUAGCACCCUAAAAUCUUCUUUUUAAGUGAUAAGGGAAAAAAAAAUUAAUUCUGUACUAAAUUUGACUAAAAACUAUACUUAUUUUCGUUUUGGUCCCUAGUUCGCAUUAUUAAUAUUUAUAUAUUAGCAUUUCAGCCUCUAAAUUCUUGUUUACCGUAAUUUUACCCAUAUUUCGUGAUUAGUGAAUAAAGAUUUUGAUCCAGCCGCUAUUAGUGAAUAAAUUUUUAUAUUAUAAACAUAAAUUUUUUUCCCUCCAAAAUACUCACCGCAAAUGACAUGUAAAUACAUAUGUUGUGCAAGUGCCGCAACAAAUAUUACUACAAAUAUUACGUGUGCGUGUCAAGUGUAUUUUACAGAUAGAGUACUGUUAUAAUUUAAUUUAAUUUAUACCAUUUUUUAUAUUAUUUACUAAUAUCCAUAUUAAUUUAACUAUUAAAUUGUUUAGAUCACAAGUAGGGGUCAAGAUAUAAACUCUUUUUUUUUUUUUUUCCUUAGAAAAGUAGAAGGACGGGCAGCCAAUUUUUCCUUCUAUCUCUUUUAAAAUUCGAAUUGAUCAAAUGUUCAGUGAAAUAAAUUUAUUUGAAAAUUAUUUAAUUAUGCCCUCGGGCCUUAUAAAAUUAUUUUAACUGGGACUAGAUUAAAAUAUUCAAUACAUAUUAUUAAUUGAAGACUAAUAUUAAAAUACGCAUACAAUAUUUUAUUUUUUAAAAUGGAAGCCCGGCGUUAUAGUGAUGAAAAAAUUUGCGAGCACCGCCGGUGGGGACUGGGGCAUGCUAUGCAAUUAAUCAUAGAAUCCUCUUACUUUGCCAUUACAUUUUAUUUUUGAAAUAUUCAUAGAAACGUGUAAAGGUGGGUCGAAGUCGCAAUCAAGCCGAUUGGAAAAUAAAUAUGAAACCUACAAAAGCAGAUGGCCUAACGCAAUCGAUGGAUAAUAACAAUAAUAAUAAUAUUAUGAAAGACAGACGUACAGCAUCCACUAUGAGACUAUCUUCUUCUCUAUUUUGGAGAGAGAGAGAGAGAAGAAAGAAAAAGAAGAAGAUGAGGCGUAUGGCAUGACUCAUGAGCGUCCACAUGCUGCAAUCUAGAUCACAUGCCAAAAAGUUAGACGGCUCGUGCAGUGUCUUGUUAGGUUUAAUUAGCUUAGCAGUACUAAGUAACUAUUUUACAUGAAAAUUCAAAUUAGAUGUGCCUGCCUUCUAUUCAUUUCUGUCGGCAUGCUUAUUUUCUCGCUCAUAAUGCUUCGUUUUGGCCUUUUCCUUUUGGAAAUACUGUGAUUAUUGUCAAAUUAACACGACCUUCACGACAAAUCUUACUUAAAUAAUAAUAAUAAUAAUAAUAAACUUGAUUCUUUUUUGUGACUAGUAUGUGAUAACACUUUAUUAAUUUGUCGGUUAUAUCGACCUGUGUAGAAAAUUAUGCAAUUAAGCAUAUAAUAAAAAAAAAAUUGUUUAAACCAAUUUACAGACUAUCGAUUCUGAAAUAGUUGGGUGAAUUAUUAACUUUUACUUGUGCGUAAUUACGGAGGAAAGAACCAAGUGAACAGACACACGCUCGACAUGCAUAUAUCAUUCUUUUAAAAAGUACCACGCUAUUAAAUGAGUUAGAGGUGAAUCAAAAUUAUAAAUUUUCUUUUUUUCUUUAUACGACGUGUGUGCGAGCGCGUGCAUAAUAUUAUUAAAAAAAAUGAUUUUGACAUUUCUAUUGGGGGGGUUCAGUUUCGAUGCUUAAAAACAAAAUUAUUGUACAAAGGUCACGAUUAAAAUUAUGAUCACGGUUAAAAAAAAAUUAAAAUUUGAGAGGGAUUUUGAGCCUCCCUCUAGCGGCAGUAUUCUUAGUUUUACCUAAUUACUGAAGAAAACAAAAGAUGUGGAGAUGUACGUGAAGAUAGAUGAUUUUUACAGCUGGGUCUGACUACUAAUUGAGUUUUUUUUUUUCUUCUUCUUCUUCGUCUUUUUAAUUGCUCGGAUUUCUCAAGUUGAUGUUUGUUUGGAAACGAAAAAACAGGGGGGGCCAAAAUGAUUUGAUUAUAACAUUUUUUUAUGAUUAUAAUAGAAUAAUAGUUAUAAUUAUAAAUUCAUUUGAUAAAGAUAUCGCGCACAUAAUGAAUUCCAACUGCAACAAAAUUAACAAUCCCAUCUUCUACGACUCAAAACUUCCGGACCCGAAAUUUGUAGCUUUCCAUCGAAAAGAAGUUUGUGUGAGGUGUGUUGUUUUGAUCAACUAAAAUUUUGUUAGUUUAAAUUACGAGAGGAAUAAAAUAACCAUUUUUUUUUUUAAAUAAAAAAAAUGAUCAGUUAAAUAAUGUUUAAAAAGUUCGAAGUGGACGUCUGUCAUGACAAGUGGGGCGAGAUGCAGAUACUUUGAAAAUUAUUAUUAUUAUUUUCAUCAUAUCUGUUUCAUUGAAGCACAAAAUAACUUUUGGGAAAAUGAUAUUUAACAAAUACUUUGAAUUAAAUACAUACAUCGAAUUACUUUGUGUAUCUGUUUUUGCUUUAAUCAUGACGUAUCCUGAAACCUAAAACUACAAGCAUGCAUUAAAUUAAUAGAUUAAUUCUUGUGUUACUAAAAAUUAAAUCCAAUACGCCUCUGGAGUGUUAUAUGCAUCAAAAUCAAUAAACAUUAACAAAAAAAAAAAAAGGUUAGACGCAUUUUUUUAAGUAACUAUUUAUUGCAGAUUUAAUACAUUAAAAAUAUAUUUAUUUUCAAAAAAUCGAUCUUUAAAAAAAAAAAGUGAACUCAUAGAUAUUUUAAAAUUUUAAUGUGUAAUUAAGGCCUCGUUAUUUUUAGUUGUUUUAAAUUUUAUUAUUUUUUAAACAAAAUUGUAAAAGAAACUUAUUAUUAUUCAUAUUCAGAUCAUGUUUCCAAAAGAAAGGUAAGCUAAAUUAGGAUUAAAAGAUGAAGCCACAGAAACCAUUUUCACUAAAGGCUGUACGAAAAUCAUACCACGAUUUAAACUUCUUUGGCUAACAAAAUUCCUUUUUUCUUUUCGAAGUGAAAUAUAAAAGCCAAAGCGCAUAAAAGAUGCAGCCAUCCAAUAACGUUUAUGGUUGUUGGCAGAUCAAUUUCGACCAUCUUCUUUAUCUUUUCAUAAAGCCUUGAUGGUCAUUUUAGAUAGGCCUUUCCGUAAAGCUUUGCUCUGAAUUAUUUGCCAAAAAUAGCUUUAAAAAGAAAAAAAAAAAAGUUCGCUAGGAAUUGUUCCCUUUUCGACUUUGGGCACUAGUCUUUUGGGUCAGUUAUUCUGGGUUUAGAACUUGCAAGCAGCGGUUCGUCUGGGCUUAAUUUAUUCAAAUGGGCUUCACAAUUCAGUGGCCCGUAAUUCUGGAUAAAUCUUCCUAUAUUAACUUUACACAUCACAUUCAUCAUAUGCUUUUUUUUUUCUUUUUUUUUUUAAAGGCACCAUAAGUCGACUUUAUAUCUUAAAAGAAGAACAAGUACAUAAUAUAUCAACGACAGUAAUUGCCCAUAUAAUAAGAGUUGAAUAAAAUUGUCGAUACUUGGGGAAUAAGCUGUGAGAGAGUUUAAUGUCCUUGAGUUUGCUACCAUUGAAGAGCUAUAAAGCUCUGUAGUAAGACAAUAACCCAAUCAGGAUUUUCUGGUGGUGUUACUUGUAAAUAGAGAUGGCAAAACCCCGGGCCGGUCCGGGUAUUGCCAUGACCGGAUCCUGCCCGGAUGCAAUCGGUCCGGGUCCGGGUCCGGGCCGGGUUUUAAUCCGGGUACCCGGAUUUUAUAUUUUUUAAUAUUUUAUGUGUAUAUAUUUUUUAUUUUUUGAUAAUUUUGUAAGUUUUAAAUUUAUUUCAAUAAAAUUUGACAUGAAAAUAUAAACUUUAAGUGUUUAAAACUUUAUAUAUGUAUAAUAAAUAAGUCAAAUAAAUAUAAAAUAUUUAAAAUAAUAUAUAUUUUAUAAUUUUUUUUAAUAAAAUCCGGGUUCCGGGUUUAUCAAGUGAUGCCCAAGACUGACCCGGCUUCAUACCCGGGCCGGGUAUUACCCGGCCCGCAACACCCGGGUACGGUCCGGGUCCGGACCGGACGGGUAUUUUUGCCACCUCUACUUGUAAAGACCCUCUGAUGCUUAGAUUAGAGAUUGUGAGUGGCACAAUAACAAACAAUAAUAAAAGAGAGAGUAAGAAAAAAAUGCUUAGAGAAUAUUGUACCUCCUCCUCCAUUAUAUCUCUUACCUCUUUUGUUUUACCUUUGAGCAAUGGUUUCUUUAUGUAAGAGAAAUAAUUAAAAGUAUAAUUAAGUUUAAAAAAAAAAAACUUAUCUCCUAUUUUAUACAAUUUGAAUUUAGUAAGGAAUAGUACUUGGGCGUUUUAUACUAUUUAAAUCAAGACUUGUUCUUGGAUGAAUGUCCUUAGGCUUGGAGGUCCAUCCACUUACGUCAUUGGUCGAAUUAUGUAAAAUACAUUUAUAGCAUAUGACAAAAAUGCAAACAAAGAAUAUGUAAAUAGGAGGAGCGUGUGUGUGUGUGUAGAGUCUUUGUUUAAUAUAUGACUCAGAAUAAUAUAGGGGUCCCAAUUUAUGCUUAACUAACGUGAUAUUCGUAUAUUAACUUUAAAUGGUAUAAUAGUAAUUGUGAUAAUUAUGAAAUUCACGCGGUAAAUUGAAAAUUUUCAACGUUAAAAUUACUAGCGUCAUUGAUAUGAUCAGAUUUUUUUUUUUUUUAUUUUGACCAUGAGGUAUUCUGGAGAGGGCCCCAACUGUGGGAGACACCUUUAAGCCCGUACCACAAUUCAGACUAGAAGUCCCCGCUCGAACCGAGAGGCACAUGUUCUCCCAGCAAAUACGACUUCCCUGCGACUCGAAUUGGGGAACAAAUCCAGUCAAACCACUUAAGGGGACUUCAUUUCCAGUGGAGCCAACACUUUAUUGGUUGAUAUGACCAGACUUUAACUUCAUGAGAAUCGCGUUCGUGGCAAUAGUCAUCUGUUAUUAUAGCUCCGUCUAUGAAACGAAUCAACGAUGUCUCUUUUCUUUUAUAGUUUCUGUCAAUCUUUUACUGAUUGAUGAUUAUGAUCUAAACGGGACGUAUACGCUUAAAAGUUAAAAUCAAAAUGCCAUUGUUUAAUUAACAAAGAAAAUUAAGAGUCGAACUAACUGGAACCAAACCCGUUGAACCCAACGUCCGUCUCUUCCGACAACAAAACAAUAAACAAAGUCGUCUUUGCUGCAUUGCUGUCCAACGUGCUAAUUUUUUUAUUCUGUCUUAUCGGCCUUUGCUUGAAUUUCCAGCAGGUUCGUCAUUAUUGAAUUUUCUGAAAACGCAGGGACUAUCAUUUUUAUCCCUUACAAUUAAUUCAAUGGCCCCAUUCUUCUUGAAAAUGAACUCCACCCAAUUAAUCCCCCCAUCAUCAUCAUGCGUUCAUUUUCGGGAAGAAAGAAUGUGAUCAUAUCUCUUUUACUUGCGUAUAGAAUUAACAGAAACAAAGAAAUUAACUCACAAAUCCAAAUUAUUUGCUUUUCGUGUAAUUAGUGUAGAAUCUUUUAAAAAAAAAAUUAUUUAUUAUUCUUUUGUUGUCAUUUCUUUAGGUUUUGAGGAUAUUAUCAUUUUACCAACAUUUAAUACCAAAAUUUUUAUGACAGUUGCCUUUUUUACUGUUUAAUUUCUUAAUUUUUAUUAUUUUACCACUUUCAUUACUAAAUUACUAAUAUCACAGGAGUAUCUCAAGAAUUUUAGUAUAUUUAGUAUUUUAAAAAUUUUGCAAUGUAUAAUAUUUAUAAUUUUAUCAAAUAAGUAUUUCUGUUAUAUGAAAUAAUCAAUUGAUAAAAAUAUUAUUUCGUUGUCUAUAAUUAAUUGUGUAUUUUUAAAAAAAAAUUUAGGGAGUUAAAUUACAUUUACAUAGUUUGGGGGUAAUAUAAACUUUUAUUAUAAUUUCUGUUAAAGAUUCUGUUAACUUUAACGGUUUGGUGGUAAAAUGAUAAAAACUAAAAUAUUAUGUAAAAAAGUAUUUUGACAGUAACGUGAUAUGUUAGAAAAUAUUAGGUGGUAAAGUAAAAUAAAUCAUAUCACUUUCUUUCGAUAUAAUUAUGAUUUAUUUUAUAUUUUUCAUGUUUCUAAUUUGGGUGAGGGUAUAUUAAACCCAUCAAAAUACUCAUUAUACCACGUUCUAAUAAAUUUUUUAUCACUGAAAUGUUCCUAUACGUGAAUUACUACUAUAGACAAGCAAAUAAUUACAAAUUUACAGUACUUAUCUUUCUUCAAUUUUUUUUACCCAUUUAUUGAACUUGUCUUCCUCAUUUAUACUUCUGUUAUUAGAAAGAAGAUUCAUCGUAUUUGUUUAGUAAUUGAAUCUGGCCUAAAGUUUACAGUUGGUAGAGUUCCUCUUAAGUUCAAGUAAUAGUUUAUUCCUGCAAUUUUUUUUUUAUUCAACAAUAAAUUGCUCUAUCCUCUAUUAAGGGUUCUACAGAUGAAAAUAAAAGUCCAUAUGGGAAUGAACAAACUCUGAAGUACUUGGAUGUUAUUAUUAAGUGUAAUAGUAAAUGUAUCAGUUAUGGUUUCUUUGAUCUUUUAUACAUUUUGAAUUAAUUGGUAAUAAUUUGUUGAAAUUAUGUUUCAAAUUCAAGGGGGGAAAAACUUCAGCAAAACAAAAAAGGAGAAUUUAGAUAUAAAAUAAUGACCAAUAAAAGAUAAGAGCUUGAGGAAAGAGGAGAUGAAGAAAGGAAAUAUAACUCUUUCAUGAUUUGAGUUUUAUUGAGUUUUUAAAAAUAUUUUGUCAUAUAUCUUUAAGUGGUAGUGUAUGGGCAAGAUUUAACUUCUUUUAUUUUUUUAUUUAUUAACAACUAAUUAGCAAUUGAAUUAUUUGCUCAGAAUCAGAUUAGGAGAGAAUUUUGAUCCAUGAAGAAGGGGCUUAAAUUGAUAAUUUAGAUUAAGGAUAUUUUGGGUAUUAAAAUGAGUUGAUUAAAUACGUUUUAAAAUUUUAAAUAUUCAUUAAAUGUUUAUUAAAUAAGUGAUCAUAAAUAUUUGACUAGGUUUAAAUAUUCUCACCUCCUAAUUUUUUGAAAAAAAAAAAGAGAAGAAGGUUAAAAUACAGAUACAUGUAUUAUGAACAAUAAUAUUAUUCCUCUAUGAAGUGCUCAACGAUAUUUUUUGGAGGUGAAUGAUGUAGGAUCAGAGUUCAGAUCCAAACCAGAAUCCUCCUCCCCCUCCUCUACGCCUUCCUCCUUUUGGCCUCGGUUGUUGUUAACACCAGCAUCAUUAACGCCGUCAUGUUCGUCGAAAUCUUCGGGUUCGAAGCGUGGCCGCCAUCCUGUAUCCGUCAACUUAUGCCGUGCCUCGUUGUCAACCUUCUCGAAGUACUUAACCGCCACGUGUAUCCUCCUCAGUAUCGCAUAAAACUCCUCCACCUCGUCCUCCGUCACCGUCUGCGUCUGCCCUGCUACUUCAUUAACGUCUUCUCCCUUCGUUCUCUUCCCUUCCAGCUCUCCGUUAUGCUCCCGUCUCCUUUUCUCUCCCUCCAUUUUCCCUUCCGCCACAAAGAAAACGUCGUCGUAUUAUGUCUCCCUCCUCUACUUUGUAGUUAUAAUAUAUCUGUCGUAGGUGAAUGGGUUUCUGACCCAUGCUUAAAUAAAUGCGAAUGCGAGAGUCUGCGUUGGAUUUCAUCAGCGAAAUCGACGGCAGUGAUGCUAGAGCAUUACGUAAUGCAUGUAACGGUACGAUGACGUAUGAAACGUGGAGCAGCCACGAGAUUCCAAAUCGCAAGUGGUAGAAUAUAAAUAGAAAAAGGUGGACGUUUGCUUUUGGUCAAAAUGGCCAACUACCACAAUUUUUUUCCAGCUGAUAAACUACCACAAUUUUAUUCCAAAUGAUAAAUUAUCCUACGAGCAUCACCAAAAUACUUCUCAAAUAAGAUUUUAUUACUUAUUUAAAAAGCUACAUCAAUAUUUAAAACUCUAAAAGAUACUUUAAUUAAGAAUAUUCAAAUAAGAAUUAAUUCUCUCUCUUUAAAUUUAGAGAGUUAAUUUUUCACUCUUCAAUUUAUAUUUUAUUACUUUUCAUUAAAAAAAGAGAGAGAAAUGCUUUAAUUAUUAUUGACUUUUCCUUUAAAAAAUAAUUAUUUAAUUAAAAUAAUAUUAACUUAUUUCUAUUUGAAGAGUUUUUUUUGAUAAUAUCAUAUUUUUUCACCAUUCUAUUUGCCACAUAGGUAAGCAAAUAAGUAUUUAAAAAAUAAAAAUUAUAGAGACUUUUGGAGAUGAUAAUAAAAAUAAUUAUAAAAUAGAUAUAGUUAUAUUAUUAUUUGAGAAAAGAAUCCUAACUUUUUUAUUUAAUACUUCUACAUCAUAUACUUUUAUGAUUAUUUUAUCUAGAAAUGAUAAUAUUUCCCGUACGGGCCAUACCCACAUGGCCCCGAUUAAGGAUGUGUUUGGGACAGCUGCGCUGCGCUCUUCACCUUAUAUUCUAGGGAUUAUUCCCCUAUGAUAUGGCAUGGGCAGCUGUCUCAAACACACGUCAAUUUAGGUCGAGUAUGGGUCUUCCAAAAACUUUAAAAUUAAAAAUAGAUCUAUAUUGGGGAUAAACACAUGCCUCAAGUAUGUUUUAGAUUUGGGUUCAGGGAUUUUAUCAGACUCUUGAAUCAAAGUCCAAACUCGAAUUUUUUUAAAUUAUUAUUAUUAUUAUUAUUAUUAUUAUUAUUAUUAUUAUUAUUAUUAUUAUUAUUAUUAUUAUUAUUAUUAUUAUUAUUAUUAUUAUUAUUAUUAUUAUUAUUAUUAUUAUUAUUAUUAUUAUUAUUAUUAUUAUUAUUAUUAAAAAAAAGCCCUAGAUCUAAAAUUCACAGCCUCUCUCAAAACACUAUCAUCCCAUUGCCACCCCAAGUUCCACAGAAUCUUCCCCUUCCUUGCUGUCACGUCACCUCCAAGCCGAUGACGAUUUCCACCAUUAAGCUAUUCGACAUUGUUUGGUGCUACUUCGUGACGGCGGUAUCAAUUUCUCUAUUUACUCCAACAGUGCGGUUUCCACUACUCUUUGCUUGAUCACUCUCUAAUUUGCAAGAAGGUAGAUUUUUUCAGUUUUACUUUUUUUUUUUUUUUAUUUUGCCUGGAAUUUCAUUAAUUAAUGGCGGAUUGCUUUAUUACGCAGAAUUUUGAGCUGAUAAUAUUGAUUUUGUUUUUGAAUAUUACUCUUUUCAGAAUUUUAUUUGGAAAUUUUGUAGUUGGUGUGUUGCUUGAAUUUAUUGUUGGAAUUUCAUUUGAGACUGUGUAAUAGGUGACAAUUAAUUAAUAAAUUUAUGUUUUGUCUAGUGAAUAGUGAUUAAAAUCUACAAGAUCAAUUGCAGCUACGGAGUCAAUCUCGAGCCUAAUCAAAUUGUAACUCCUGUAGAGGCUAUAUAUAAUUGCAUAUUAAUAAUAAUAAAAUUUUAAAUCAUUUAUACCCAUAUGCUAAUUAAUUAAUUUUAUUUUCAAGUUUAUUUCUUACGCUCUCUUUUACUAUAUUAAAAAAAAGAAAGAAAAAAGAAAUUAAUUUUCGACGAGUGGAUGAUGGUAACUGUCAUCUAAACUACCUCGUAUUACUGGCUUCGCAAAGUUACAAAUGUUUUAGGUGCAAUCUUCACCUAAAUCACUUCACUUUCAUAGUGUCGGUAGUUUAUGCAGUUUAUAAUGGGUUGCCGCAUUGAUAAGAUAUGUAAAGUCCCAAGAUUCUGGUUAGUGGCCAACAAAAUAUAUAAAUAUAUGCACUGUCGAUAAAAAAGGGGGAAUAUUAAGCAAUAGUAAUCUACAAUUUGAAUAUCUUUUAGCGGCCACCAUCUUAUUCCACGGACCAGACAUCGUUUAUGGUUUAAACGCUUUCAACUCCUUUAUUGGUACAAAUUAAUGAUGACCUGUAAUUUCAAAAGUCCUGUAACCUACAGCUCUGCGAGUCAUUUUCCCCAUUAUGUAUGGUGCAUUUAUAAUCUCAUUAAUUAGAUUAAAGCCAUUCAAAUAACAUGAUUAAUUUAUAAAUAACAAAAAUACAUAAUAUAAAUUAAAAAAGGAUUGAGAAGUUUGAAAACUCAGUGUUGUAAUAUAACAUUAGGUUCAAUUCAAACAUAGUUAGCUUAAUUCAAGCACAUGUUGUGUGACGUAGGUUUUAUAACGUCUAAAGUCAAGUGUAGCAAGGAGCAAUCUUUUGAGGCUCAAGUCUUGAGUCUUCAAUAGGGUGUGUAAGUUAAUUAUUAAAAAAAUCUAUAUUAAUUUUAUAAUAUUGAAUGAUAUUUGAGUAGACUCCUUAGAGUCCAAGAAGACCCUCUUGCUAGAAGGCUCCUUAUUUCCUAGGGGAAAAAAUGAUAGAUAAAAACAAUGUGACAGAGACAAUGGUUUUGCAAUUCACGUGUACAAAUCAAGAUUCACGUUUUUCUUCUUGUCACCAACGAUAGGGAUAGCAAUUUAAUUCGGACCCGAUCUAACUUAGAUAAUUCGGAUCGGGUUUAACCCGUAUCAGAUUAAAACAAAUAUGGUAUCCGAAUAUAAUUUUAUUGACUCGGAUGUUUCCGGAUUUGGUUCCAGGUUUACAUAAACAUGCAUAUGCGGAAUAUAAAAAGGGUAAAAAAUGUUGAUGCCCUAAAUCCAUUUUACACUUUCACAACCGCCUCUCUUCACCUCUUUCUUUUCUCUUCAUCAAAUCAUCCUUCUCGUCUCUCUUCAGUUCUUCUCUUCAUCAAAUCAUCGUUGUCACUCAUCCAACGCUUCGCUUUGUUGUGUUCACAUUUAUCAUCAUCACCAGCCUUCGUUUUGCCGUCGAUUGUCCAUCGCGAUCUCGAUUUUGACUACCAUUCAUCUACCUUUUGUGAAUCGCGCUCGCAGCUAUGAUGUGUUCAUCAUCAUCAUCAUAUUAUCAGCCACCACUGUUCAUAUUAUCAUCAUUUGUUCACAUUUUUUUUUUAUUUUUUUAUUUGUAUGUGAUUUGGGGUGAAAACCCACAAUCCGUAAAGUCAUAUUAUUCCAGAUUUAACCCAUAACAGACCCGGUGUCACAAAAAUCGAAUUUAAAUCUGAAUCUGAUAUAAAAUUUUAGCAUUCGAAACUGGGGAGGUCAAACCCGGAUCUAGACCCGAAUUUUGCCAUCCCUAACCAACGAUUAUGAUUCACGUUGUUCUUCUUCUGGACCGUCAACGAUGAUGAAUUUAAAUAAUAUUGUGAAAAUUUUAGCUUUUUUGACUCCUAUCCCGAGGAUCGUAAAUCACAGAACCAUGGACUACGAUAGUAGAAAGCGAAUUUAAAUUUUCAAUGAAAAUUGAAUGUUAAAUUGCAAUUGGUCGUAUUUGCAAUUAGAAAUUUAUUAAAUAUUUUUUUUCUCCAUAAUUCUAUCGUAAAACAAUCCACAUCUUUAAUUUAAAAUCGAUCAAAUCUAACUUACAAAUAAAAGAUAAUAAGCAUUGAAAUUUUAAAUAAAUAGAAUUAAGCUAUAUUCGAUAUUGAGAUGCUAAUUUUAAUAAAAAUAAUAAACAUAUUAUUAAUUUUAUUAUGUAAAUAUAAAAUAAAAUGAUCCCAAUCUCUUAAUAAUAACAACAAAUAGUCAUAAAAAUUACACCUGUCCGAUGAUGAUACAAAAAGAACAUAAGAAUAGAAAUAAUGCAGCUUAGAAAUUGAAGUCUUAAAUUAAAAAAUCAGUAUCGUUACAACCUAAUUUCUGUUUUCGAAUUGCAUGAAUGACACACUCAAAGAAAAUAAAAAUAAGAACAGAAAACAAAAAGAUUCGGCUGAUCAUUUAACCCCAAACUCGAGAAAGUACAAACUACGAGAUUGGAACGAACAAAGCGGCAAACCCAUCUAAACCAGUCCCGGAUCGGGAUCGGUAUCCGGAUCAGCAUUUAAAUCGAAACCCGUAUUUACUUUGACGUCCUCGGCUGCUUUAACGGUGUCGUUGAUUUCUAAUUGUAAAGCCAAUGACCGUCCCUCCGUUAAGUGACGGUUUCCGCCGUUACUAGACUUGAAGUAAUUAACAGCCACGUGUAUUCUUCUGAGGAUUGCAAAGAACUCCUCGACCUCCUCCUCCGUCACGGCCGUCUCCUCUCUGCUACCAUCUCGCGGCCUCUUUUGAGACCCUCCGGCGACGUCGCUUGGCCCCGCUUUUCUCUUCUCCGGCUCCGUUCCUUGACCGUCCGACAUCUGCUCACUGUUUGAUAUAUUAUCUGUUGGGGCGGAGUCGAUUGGCUUUUACACUCGUGCUCUGUUUGCUUCUGUAAACAUCGAAAGUCACAAUCACCGCUCACAGUCUUGGCGAUCUCUGAUUCGCUGUACGGUGACAACGUGGUGCCCAAAUCGUCUUUUCAAAGUUGGGCAAAUUGAUGACGUGUCCUUCACAUGCUGUUGUAAUUGAUUAAUGACUUGAAGCCGCGUGAGUUGUUAGGUAUUUAACAACUGUUUACACGAUGACGUCACAUUAACGAGUUUGGAUUUGGAGAUGUAUGAACGGAGCGAUCGUCAUGUUGGACCGCCGGCCGUAAUUUCUUUUGCAAAAGUCGAAGGCGGAUAUUAAUAUAAAGAGCAACGUUUGAAUGGUCAAUAAUCAAUGUUCGUGCUGCCAUAUAAUAGUAAAGUUAUAUUUUUUUAAUUAAAAAAAAAGUGGUAGACGGCAAAAGCUAGAAAAAGAAAAAAAAAUGUGAAUUUUUUAAGUUGUAACUCUUUUUUUUUUCUUUUUCAGUUUGAUAUAUAUAUAUAUAAAAGAUUUUGAAUUUUAUUAAAAGUCGAUGUAAAAAUAUAUUCAUAUGGUUAUCAAUUAUUUAUGAACUUUUAUCUUGAAUUAUGAGUAAUUACAAUAGAAUUUUUAUGAAAUUCUACCAUUAUUUGAAAUAAAUUAAUUAAUCUUGUAAAUAAAACUAUUUUUCAUAAUAAAAAUAGUUACUAGGUAAUUUGUUCCUUCAUUGUUUUAAAAUUAUUUUUAUUUUGUCAUGAUUUGCAGAGAUAUUUUUGUUUAAUUACAUUAAUAUUUGUCUUUUACGUAAUUGCCAGUAACAAUAGAAUUAUGACAGCAAACUGAAAAAAGAAAGGUGUUAUAAGCAUAUUCCCGAGGUGUGGAAAGCAUUGCUCUAGUAAAAGGUAACUAGAAUUAGGCCCAUGCAUUUUUGGGCCUUGAGAGUCUCCCAAUGGACUGUUUCACCCAUCAAAAUCCUCUAGACUCCCAUGAAAGUGCUUAACGAAAAACGUUUGAGAUAUUUGUUGGACCCAUCAUGGAAUUUGUUCGACAGUCCCAAUUAAAUCUUCGCUCUUUUACUGGACUCAAAACUCAAAAGAUAUUAUCUGGUCUUAUAUUAGUUGUUGUUUAUAUAUAUAUAUAUAUAUAUAUUAUAUUCCUAUGUAUGUAUCUAAAAUUAGCAAACAUUUUUUUUCGUCAAAAUUUAUAAAAUAAAUUACUUUUGACAUUUCAACCACAGAGAAACCUUGCAAGCAAUGCUAUUAUUGAAUCCAAUCAUUUAAUAAUUUUGUGAGACAACCAUAGUAACUACAACUUUAAUAAUAACACACAGUUCCCAUUCAAAUAAUAAUAAUAAUAAUAAUGAUAACGUAUAAAUUCUUUAUCCGUUGUAUCUAAUAAUAAUUCCUAUCGCUCCACACAUUUGUACAAAAUGUACUGUUUGAGAAGUGCAAUAAUAUUUUGUAACGCUGUAAAAAGAAGAGGUAAAACAAUUUCAAGUUUUGUUAAAAUGGUAGCAAAUAUCCAAAGCACAGAUAAGCAAAUUCGGGACCAUAAUCUUGAGAAGGGACCAAUUUCAUUUGCGUGCCGAGUAGCUGUCGGCGUGACUUUUUGUGAUGGAGGUAAGGUCCAGGCAAUCUUUUUUAUUGGUGGCGUCCACAAUUAGGCCUACUGUCGUGUACGGGGAUUUCUCUCUGGGCCAAACAUAUGUAGCCAACUUUAUUUAAGGCUAGCUAUUGACGUCUGAGCUGAGCUAUUUUAUUAGUCAGUUAUUGCAUUAUUUCACGAAUAAGAUGAGAACACGAGGGAUUGGGUAGUUUGUGAAUAGUAUUAUAUAUCCUAAAUUUUUUGUUUUUAAAAAUUAUUGUAAAUGAUUUAGUAUUCAUUAGUUAGUCGGUAAAUAAUAUAAUUAAUUCAUUUAUUUUAUAAAAAAAAUAAUUUAAAUCACUUAAUUAAUGAUACAUUAUUUUUAAAAAAAAUGAGAUAACUAACAUUACUUUUUUUUUUAUCUAACGAGACUGUAAAAGCAUUAUGGAUUUUCAAAAAAAUAAAAUAGAAGCAAAUAAGUAUGUGCCUUUCCUUCCUUCCAUAGUUUUUAUGUGUUUGAUGAACCUUGUUCUGUGACUUGUGAGACUGUUGUAAGCCAAUAAACACUGUAGAAUUCAACCCACGCAUGUCUUUAUGAAUUAAGAUACUCUCAUGAUCUGAUUUUCUCUUGAGUAAAAAUACACAUAGGUGAUUGGUAGUUAAUAAAUAAAAAAAUGAAGAAAUCAAAUCAUACUCAUACACUAUCACUUAAAUACACAUAAUAUAAAAUUAUUAAAAACUCAUGAGAGUUCAUAUCAGAUAAUUUUUAUCAUGCCUUUAUAUAUAACAAUUAAUGUUUUGUCUAUAUAAUACAAAAUUGACUCUUGAUUGAAUAAAUGAAGCUUCUGCGUUUAUAAAAAAAAGAAAGAGAAUCGAUUCAUACGAUGGACAUCGGAUAAUCCAAAGAUGAUUUUUGUCUCCACGUGCACUUUAAAUAAUCUUACUUUUUAAUUAACCUUGAUUCCUGCUCGGAUGUUAAGUACCUGUAAUUUCUUAAUACUCCAUCUUUUAUUUAUUAAAAUAAUAAUAGAAUAUAUUUUCCAUGCAUGUGUCGUUUGUGUGUGUGUGUGUGUGUAUAUAUAUAUAUAUAUGCGAGCGCACACGCGCGGUAAUCUAGCACCAAAGGCUAAGGCUAGCUAUGAAUUUUUACCACAAAAGAAUUAUUAAUUACUGUUCUUUUAACUCUAAAGUUUUGCCUAAGGUAGGAAAAAAAAAAGAAAAAAAAACUCUAAAGUUUGAGUUGUGGUCAACUUGUUUAAUUUCAAUUAAUUAAUUAAUACUCAAUACGGAUCAAUUAUAGCUUUGUACGGUCACCGACAAAUUCAUAGAGUUUGCGCUUUUUUUUAUUACAUGAGACUAUUGCUCAGAUUACAACUCAUAUUACAUGAGACUAUAACUGAUAUUUACAAAUUAGGCUAUUACUGGGACCAACUUACAUCAAUGCUAAUGGAGCUUUGCCCAAAUUUUAACCCUCACAAAUAUUUGAGAGAUGUCUACUCCUCACUCAUGGGUAAGGGAGAAGACUGUCUUCACUCAAUUAAUUAAGGAAAAAGUUACCCCCACAAUGCUUUUGUGGGGGUUCGAACUGCUGCCCUCCAAGUUGGAGGGCAGCAGCCCUGGCCACUCGGGCUGAGCCGAGUGGUUAUAGAGUUUGCGCUUCAGAUUACUGCAUUGGGUGUUCAAUAAUUCGUAGAACUUGAGAAAUUUAUAUAAAUAACCUUAAAAGUUUUCAAUUUUUUAAUUUUAGUUCCCUAAAUUUUUUUCUUAUCAUAAUUAGCUAAAUACUAAUUUUUUGGACUAAAUAGUUCUCGUCACUUUAAAAAAUUUACAAACAAAUGUCAUUCUUGAAAAUUCGCUCACACUCUCAACACUCUCAAUACUCUCAACAAAUCAUCAAAUCUCAUCAAACAAAUAUUAUAUAACUGGAAAUAUAAUCAUCAAUCGACAAUUGAGAAGUUUCUUGAGGUUAGUGUAUAUUUGGAUUCGAAAUUGAUAUGGUUUUUUUUUUGUAAAUGUUGUUAUUUUUCAUUUAUAAAAUGAUGUAAUUUGUUAAAGUACUUAGUUUGAGUAGAGAAAUUAAAAAAAAGUUUGAGUAGAGAAAUAAAAAAAAAAAAAGUCAUUGAAAACGUCAUAAAUUUGAAGUAAAAAAGAAACCAUGAUUUAGUGAGAUAGGCUAAUUUAGUGAUAUGAGACAGGCACCUGUCUCACAGCCUGUCUCACUAAAUUUCAGAUAUUUUUCAAAAAUAAUAACUUAUGCUACAUUUGUCUAUUUUGAGUAUGUAAUAUAUUGUUUUGAAACUUGCGACGAGAUGAAUUAAAUUUAAAACCGUGUACUCUGUUCUAUCACAUGGUCGAUCAAAAAAUUUGCCUAACUUAAAGUGCGAUAGGCACUUAUUGAACUAUCGUGCAUAAUCAUAGUAUGUGCAACAUCCAUAUAAAUGUGGCACAUAUUCAUUUUAUCAUAUUUUGUAGUGUGUAAUCUUAUUUCUUUUGUCUUUUUUAAUUAUUUUCAAGCUUAAUAGAUUUAGUUGUGCUUCAAUUGUGUUACGACGGUUGGUGAGAAAUGUUAGCAAAUGGUUGUAUGGAGUACGUGAAUACCAAUAAUACAAUUUUUUUUUUGUUCGGAAAGAUAGUAUGUUUGAUUAAUUUCUGGCAAAAAGGUAUAAAGUUUUACAGAUAAAUCCUAAUGAAUAUAGUAUUACGAUGAAAACAACUUUGAAGCCUAGUAACACAAUCUAUCGUGCAUGUUCUCUACCUAUGAACAUAUAUAAUAAUGAAAUGAUCAAGGUUGUGUUACAUAUGGCCUAUAUGUAGUUGACCUAUAAUGCGGUCAACUAUGGAUGUAUCACUAUAUUUGUUAUCGUAUCUUCUCGAGUUCAGGACUAAGAUAUUGAGUCAUUUGUAGAAACUGAAACUUCUUUAGAGCAAAUGACUCUAUCCCUAAUAUUGUAGAAGAGGUACCAUAGACAACGUCGUUGCGGCAACAUUACUCUCCACUCCACCAAAAUAAUGAAACCAUUGAUGAUAACGAUAUUACUUUAGCGGAUAUUAAAGAAAAUGUGUUACCACUUACGACAUCGUUGGAGCAACAUUACUCUCCGUUCCAAAAUAAUGAUUUUACAAUAAUGAUGACCUGUUGAUGACAUCAACAACACAAAUGCUGAUAGUGUUUGUGUGGAACUAGUUUGAGUGAC
rnacentral:lncRNA from 1 species